rnacentral:lncRNA from 1 species
CUUUCCAAAGCCCGGCCCGAACCAAGAUCGGCCCGGCAAAUGCCCAGGUGUACUCUAAGGCAUGCCAGCACACGCAAAUGGGAGAGAAUCUACAAUAGUUUUACUUGAAGCUUUUACAUAAAAUGUAAGAAAUGUUUGUAUAUAUAUAUACAUUUUCUAAGUCAACGUAAUCUAUAUGCUAUAUUGUUGUGAAAAUUAAGAAUAAAAAUACCUCUCAACGGGGAAAUAAGAAAAUCUUGGGAAAUACAAAAGGAAAGAGCUAUAUGGGCAUGUAUCGGCGGGUAAUAAAAGAUAAAAGUAGGAUGUCGGUUCACUACUUGACAUGCGUUUCACUGAAAAAAUUACUUUUGUCCCCCCAAAAAAAACUAAGAAAACUACUUGACCAUGGGUCCUAAAAUAAUCAACUUAUGGAAAACAAUGCUGCUAAGCAUUGCCUACAGAGCACACAAGGUUCACUCAUUUUGCUUCGUAUGUAGACUCCUCGUGAAAUAUCUUAAAAGACUUAUAUUUAAGAACGGAGGGAAUAGUUGAUAUUCUUGACCUAACAGAUUUCUGCGCUUU